GAUCCCUGGCUCAGGAUGAACGCUGGCGGCGUGCUUAACACAUGCAAGUCGAACGAUGACCCGGUGCUUGCACCGGUGAUUAGUGGCGAACGGGUGAGUAACACGUGAGUAACCUGCCCUUAACUCUGGGAUAAGCCUGGGAAACUGGGUCUAAUACCGGAUAUGACUCCUCAUCGCAUGGUGGGGGGUGGAAAGCUUUAUUGUGGUUUUGGAUGGACUCGCGGCCUAUCAGCUUGUUGGUGAGGUAAUGGCUCACCAAGGCGACGACGGGUAGCCGGCCUGAGAGGGUGACCGGCCACACUGGGACUGAGACACGGCCCAGACUCCUACGGGAGGCAGCAGUGGGGAAUAUUGCACAAUGGGCGCAAGCCUGAUGCAGCGACGCCGCGUGAGGGAUGACGGCCUUCGGGUUGUAAACCUCUUUCAGUAGGGAAGAAGCGAAAGUGACGGUACCUGCAGAAGAAGCGCCGGCUAACUA
rnacentral:rRNA from 1 species